CGUCACUCUCUCUCUCUCUCUCUCAUCUUUUUUUCUUCGAGGGCCUUUUCCUUACUUCUUGUCUUGUUUCUGAUCCUCUGGUUGAUUAUUGUACGCUAUGGAUUUUCACGAACUCGCUUCCGUUAUCUAGCCCACCAAUCUUUCUUCUGUGCUUCUGUGGGUUUCUUCUUGUUCUGAUAGAUGGCCGACAGUCCUGGGGGCCACGGAGCUACUGGUGGCAACGGAAGCCACGAGAGUUGCGGCGGGGAUCAGAGCCCGCAAUCUAGCGUGCGCGAGCAGGAUCGCUUUCUCCCGAUUGCGAAUAUUGGUCGCAUCAUGAAGAAGGCGCUGCCUGCCAAUGGCAAGAUCGCCAAGGACGCCAAGGAUACUGUCCAGGAAUGCGUCUCUGAGUUCAUCAGCUUUAUUACCAGCGAAGCCAGUGAUAAGUGCCAGAAAGAGAAAAGGAAGACUAUUAACGGGGAUGAUUUGUUGUGGGCAAUGGCCACCUUAGGUUUUGAGGAUUAUAUAGCUCCACUGAAAGCUUAUUUGGCUAGGUACAGAGAGGUAUCUGAAGUUCCAUACUCCGGCUCUAUAUUGUUCAUCUCUGCUAAUGAUAAUAAGAAUAAUAAUUUUGUUUGUCAUACUUUCUCUGAGUAUGAUGUUAGCUAAAGCAUCAUGCAUUAUGAAUUAACCCUAACUUUGUUCCUUUGUUGUUUGGGCGCAUUUGUAUCUGGCGCUAUCUCCGUGUUUCAGUUAGAGGUAUGAAAAUAAUCAUUCUGUUAACUUUCUCUUGACUUCACUUUGUUAUGUAUAGUAUCAUUAUAUGGCAAACUAUUGGCAGGGUGAUACUAAGGGACCCGCUAGAGGUGCUGAUGCGUCUGCAAAGAAAGAAACUAUGGGAACUCAGCUGAGUUCUGAAGCAGAGUUUGCUCGUCAAGGUUCCUUCUCACAAGGGUUCAGCUACUCGAACUCCCAAAUUGAAUUUUGAGCAGUGAAGAGUAAGAAUGCUCGGCAGGCAGGACGUCCGUGUGUGAAUCUGUCUGCCUCUGUGGUUAUGUAGUAGCGGCGAGUGGUGAGUUUUAUGUAUAUGUAUUUCUGUAUGUAUGUAUUUGGUUGUUAUAUGAGAUAGAAAAGAGUCAAGAAUCAUAGUGAUGUAGUAGUUGUGUGCUGGUUUCGAUUUCUCUAUCAAUCUAUCUAAUAUCAAUAUCUAUAUAUCAUCUGUAAAUCCUAAGUGUCAGUUAUGACUGUUAUGAUGAUUUAUGUUGCAUAAUUGCUUUGACAGA